rnacentral:rRNA from 1 species
UACGUAGGGUGCAAGCGUUAAUCGGAAUUACUGGGCGUAAAGCGUGCGCAGGCGGCUAUGCAAGACAGAUGUGAAAUCCCCGGGCUCAACCUGGGAACUGCAUUUGUGACUGCAUAGCUAGAGUACGGUAGAGGGGGAUGGAAUUCCGCGUGUAGCAGUGAAAUGCGUAGAUAUGCGGAGGAACACCGAUGGCGAAGGCAAUCCCCUGGACCUGUACUGACGCUCAUGCACGAA